rnacentral:rRNA from 1 species
CUCAGGAUGAACGCUAGCGACAGGCUUAACACAUGCAAGUCGAGGGGCAACAGGGAGUGUGCUUGCACACUCUGCUGGCGACCGGCGCACGGGUGAGUAACACGUAUGCAACCUGCCCUUUACAGAGGGAUAAUCGGAAGAAAUUUCGUCUAAUACCUCAUAACACCUUUUCCGCAUGGGAUUAAGGUCAAAGAAUUUCGGUAAAGGAUGGGCAUGCGGAGCAUUAGGUAGUAGGCGGGGUAACGGCCCACCUAGCCGACGAUGCAUAGGGGUUCUGAGAGGAAGGUCCCCCACACUGGUACUGAGACACGGACCAGACUCCUACGGGAGGCAGCAGUGAGGAAUAUUGGUCAAUGGGCGAGAGCCUGAACCAGCCAAGUCGCGUGAGGGAAGACGGCCCUACGGGUUGUAAACCUCUUUUGUCAGGGAGCAAAGACAGGUAUGUAUACCUGGAUGAGAGUACCUGAAGAAAAAGCAUCGGCUAACUCCGUG